rnacentral:lncRNA from 1 species
GUAUGUUGAAUUAACGUCAUGGCUUCACCCAAUAUUCAACAUGUUUGGUUACCAUGGUAUCGGAGGACUCGGCGCACGCGCAGCGCUUCACUUCACUUAAUUACGAACACCUGACCUGCAGUGCAGCAGAAUUCAGAGAGACGCACUAACUUGCACAGCAUUGAAUGGAAAAGGCUUUUUCCAUGUCCAGUUGAGGGCAUCAAGAACACGCAGAUGGCCUAAACCUGUGUCAGACUGGACAGACUGCUGAUCUGCUACUCAACGCCAAGGCUUUUGUAUGGAUGUCUGACUACUACUGUUGUUCUCUAAAGGUUUUCUGGAAGCUCCAUUUGAGGGCAUCAAGGACAUACUGAUGGCCUAAACCAGUGUCAGCCUAGACAGACAGACAUCUAUUGUAGUUCUGCUACACAAGACCAAACUCUCUGCUUUUGUAUGGAUGUCUGACUAGUACAGUGUUCUCUAAAGGUAUAACUGGAGCAAAACAACAGCAUCCGUUACAGUGAAAUUUGUGUUCAUAAAAGAUAGUGAUAUGUGUAACAGGUCCAGUACAUUUGUCAUAAAGGUUAAAUCACAGUAAGUACUGUAAAAAUAACUUGUUUGCCUUUGCCACAACAGGUCAUGGUGUGUGCAUACUGCUCGUAGUAAACACACACGCUGAUCUGAUGCGGGAGAGAUAUACGCAAACACAUUUAUAUUUACUGUUUUGUUUUGCCUCACUAAAGUGUUGUUGGAGCUUGGUAUGUUCACAGUUGAAAUCACUGAAGUCACAUGGAACGUUUUGACAAUGUGUUUUGUGCCUUAUCUUGACAAUGACCAUCUUGGGACCAUUGCUGUCUGUA